rnacentral:rRNA from 1 species
AGAGUUUGAUCCUGGCUCAGAAUCAACGCUGGCGGCGUGCCUAACACAUGCAAGUCGAACGCACCGCAAGGUGAGUGGCAGACGGGUGAGUAACGCGUGGGAACGUGCCCUUCAGUUCGGGAUAACCCAGGGAAACUUGGGCUAAUACCGGAUACGUGCGAGAGCAGAAAGAUUUAUCGCUGAAGGAUCGGCCCGCGUCUGAUUAGCUAGUUGGUGGGGUAAUGGCCCACCAAGGCGACGAUCAGUAGCUGGUCUGAGAGGAUGAUCAGCCACAUUGGGACUGAGACACGGCCCAAACUCCCACGGGAGGCAGCAGUGGGGAAUAUUGGACAAUGGGCGCAAGCCUGAUCCAGCCAUGCCGCGUGAGUGAUGAAGGCCUUAGGGUUGUAAAGCUCUUUCGUCCGGGACGAUAAUGACGGUACCGGAAGAAGAAGCCCCGGCUAACUUCGUGCCAGCAGCCGCGGUAAUACGAAGGGGGCUAGCGUUGUUCGGAAUUACUGGGCGUAAAGCGCGCGUAGGCGGACUUUUAAGUCAGGGGUGAAAUCCCAAGGCUCAACCUUGGAACUGCCUUUGAUACUGAGGGUCUGGAGUUCGGGAGAGGUGAGUGGAAUUCCGAGUGUAGAGGUGAAAUUCGUAGAUAUUCGGAGGAACACCAGAAGCGAAGGCGGCUCACUGGCCCGAUACUGACGCUGAGGCGCGAAAGCGUGGGGAGCAAACAGGAUUAGAUACCCUAGUAGUCC